rnacentral:rRNA from 1 species
UACGGGGGGGGCAAGCGUUGUUCGGAAUUACUGGGCGUAAAGGGCGCGUAGGCGGUUCGAUAAGUCAGCUGUGAAAACCAUGGGCUUAACUCAUGGCCUGCAGUUGAGACUGUCGGGCUGGAGUGUGGGAGAGGAGAGUGGAAUUCCUGGUGUAGCGGUGAAAUGCGUAGAUAUCAGGAGGAACACCGGUGGCGAAGGCGGCUCUCUGGACCACAACUGACGCUGGAGGCGACGAAAGCUAGGGGAGCAAACAGG